rnacentral:rRNA from 1 species
CAGAAGAAGCACCGGCUAACUCCGUGCCAGCAGCCGCGGUAAUACGGAGGGUGCGAGCGUUAAUCGGAAUUACUGGGCGUAAAGCGCAUGCAGGUGGUUUGUUAAGUCAGAUGUGAAAGCCCGGGGCUCAACCUCGGAAUUGCAUUUGAAACUGGCAGACUAGAGUACUGUAGAGGGGGGUAGAAUUUCAGGUGUAGCGGUGAAAUGCGUAGAGAUCUGAAGGAAUACCGGUGGCGAAGGCGGCCCCCUGGACAGAUACUGACACUCAGAUGCGAAAGCGUGGGGAGCAAACAGGAUUAGAUACCCUGGUAGUCCACGCCGUAAACGAUGUCUACUUGGAGG